CUUAAUCACAGCCUGUGUGGGUAAAGGGAAAGCCUUGCCUGGCCAACCCCUCCCACUCCCACCCCCACCUCCUGCAUUGAUUCACAAACCUGGACUGCUCUGGAGGAGGCUGGGAAAGUCCAUCCCCAGGGAAUACCACUUUUUUCCUCUUCUGUGCCUCUCACAGGACACCCACAUGACUAGGAGGAGGCAGAAAGUGAAUAGGGAGCUCUUAUUACUUUUUGAGUGUCAGCAAGUUAAGACAUCAUCUCCAGAAAACUGUGCUAGUUGGCAUCCAGCAGUGCCCAAGUAUUAUUUAACCCACUAGAACCUGUGACUGCAUCAGCUUUAUAUCCUGGACCUCAGCCUGGAACAAAGGAGAGCUACACUUGGAUACUAAACACAAGUGGUCUGGAUAGAUUAUGCUGGGAAAAGAAGCCUGGAGCAGGCAGUACAGUGGGAGAACAAGUCUUGAAAGAUGGGAAGAUCAGGAGCAGUCUGGAGUCAUGGUAUAUGAAUGAACUAGUGAGAGUGGGCACAAAGUCUGAAGAUCUUUGUAGUGCAGCUAAUGUCUAAGGGAGAAUAUACCUACCCUAGAAGAGACAUUAAACAACCAGGUAA
rnacentral:lncRNA from 1 species